AUUGAACGCUGGCGGCAGGCCUAACACAUGCAAGUCGAGCGAGCGGCGGACGGGUGAGUAAUGUCUGGGAAACUGCCUGAUGGAGGGGGAUAACUACUGGAAACGGUAGCUAAUACCGCAUACCAUCAGAUGUGCCCAUAUGGGAUUAGCUGGUAGGUGGGGUAACGGCGCACCUAGGCGACGAACCCUAGCUGGUCUGAGAGGAUGAUCAGCCACACUGGAACUGAGACACGGUCCAGACUCCUACGUGAGGCAGCAGUGGGGAAUAUUGCACAAUGGGCGCAAGCCUGAUGCAGCCAUGCCGCGUGUGUGAAGAAGGCCUUCGGGUUUUAAAGCACUUUCAGCGGGGAGGCGUUACCCGCAGAAGAAGCACCGGCUAACUCCGUGCCAGCAGCCGCGGUAAUAC
rnacentral:rRNA from 1 species